rnacentral:rRNA from 1 species
UACGUGAGGGGCGAGCGUUGUCCGGAUUUAUUGGGCGUAAAGAGCGUGUAGGCGGCCUGAAAGGUCAGCUGUGAAAACUCGAGGCCUCAACCUCGAGGAGUCGGUUGAAACCAUCUGGCUAGGAGUCCGGAAGAGGAGUGUGGAAUUCCCGGUGUAGCGGUGAAAUGCGCAGAUAUCGGGAAGAACACCCGUGGCGAAGGCGGCACUCUGGGACGGUACUGACGCUGAGACGCGAAAGCGUGGGGAGCGAACAGG